GUUGCUCGACUCUACAUUGCGACAUCUCUGCCUGUGGUCACGCUUCCUCAUUUCCCAAUCCUCAUGGACUUGCGGUUGGGAGGUUCUGCAACCCAUGAGGAACUUCACUUGUUCCUCAUUUGUUGGUGCUUCCAGCGAAUAGGUUCAGGGUCCUGGAGCAGAUGGGGUUUGGGUCGUUCGGGGACGCGUGUGGCUCGGAAUGGCGUCAGGACGGAUGUCGAGAAAGAAAUUCAUUCUGGGUCUGAGAGUCCGGGACCCCGGCUCAGCUGCCAGAGGUUUUCACUCGGUCACCUCUUCUUGCUGCUGCUGCUGCGGGUUUGGGUGAUUGGUGCCGAAGGCAGAAGAGAAUUGGUUGGUGCCCUUGGUUCUUCAGUUUUACUGGAUCCUGAAGUCAAAGUUGAUCCCAACAAGAAUGAAAUUAUUUGGACGUUCAUCGCCAGCCACAAAAGCCCUGUCACCAUUCUACAUCACAUCCCAGGUUACCUGAAGUGGAUGGAACCCAGUGAACAGUUCAAGACCCGUUUACAGUUUAUUCCAUCUAAUGGCUCUCUAAUGGUAAACCGAUUAGAAGCCGGUGACCAAGGAGCUUACAGCUUCACUGUAGAUGGACAACAGCUGAAAAUAAUACAAUUGCUCCUCUUUGCACAAUAUACAACAGAGGUUUACCGUUUACCCGGCAGCUCAGUGGCAUUUCUUGGAGUGGAUGAGAACGCAAGGAAGAUUACUAAAGUUUUUUAUUGGGAAAAACUGCAAGAACACCCAGGGAAAGAACCCUCCGUGGAACCAGUUCUCGAGUAUCAUGUGGGAUCCAUGAAACCUUUCUUAAUACAAAAAUACAACGGGCGCAUAGACUUCUCCCCCUCCAAUGGAUCACUUGUCUUCAAUGAUUUGACUUAUGCAGAUGAUGGUCUUUAUAGACUUUCCAUCAAUCUACGAGCAACCAUUAUUCGAACUGUUCGUCUGCGUAUAAUGGAUAAGCUGUCCAAGCCUUCGAUAUGGAGUAACGCCAGCUCUCCGGGUUCCACCAUCCAGCUCAUGUGUAAUGUGGGAGAUGCUUCGAGCUAUCAGUGGUGGAAAGAUGGAAGGGAGGUCUCCCAUCAUCACCUCCAAGAUGGGAACAGAAGCCUUGUUAUCCCGAGUGCUUCCAGAAGUGACUGUGGAAAUUACACCUGUGUUGCCACCAAUCCUGUCAGAUCUGUACAGGCAAGCUACCUGCUAACCAUUCACGGUCUUCGUCCGGUGGAGACCGUCAUUGUGGUGGCAUCGAUUGUUGGGAUAGUAUCUCCUGCAGUGUCAUUUGGUGGAUUGCUGCUACUGUGCUGCUUGAGGAGAGAGUUGAUGCAAGCGUCAUUGAAACAGUCCAAACUUUUGUUUUUGCUCCUGUUUAUCUGUAACAAUGUGUCUCUUGUUGCCAUCUCUAUUGCCCUCAUUUUCUGGAUCGUGAUUAAAGGAGCUGCCUCUGUACCUGUGGUUGCUUUGUGCAUUGCACUUAUCCUGCUGGCUUUUAACGUCUGCCUGACCAUCAGCAUUGGGAACUUGGGCUACCCGUGUAUCAGUCGCUUCUUAGACAGCACAGGUUUGCGAGCUUCGAUUGACUUCUGCGGAAUCAUAAGCUCCUUCGUUGUGAUCGUCUUUUCGAUCGUCAUCCUUGUUGAAGAGAUUCAGCAAAGCAAUGAAGGUUGUUACGUGACAGUUCUAACCUGGAGCAUACUGGCCCCAUUGUUCACCGUUCUUGCUGUAAUCUUCACUGCAUCUGUAGCAGUGUGGUGGAAAGGAAAUGGAGAUAACGAGCUGUGAAUCAAAUGAUCAAGAGGCACAGCAGGAGUGAUGAUCAGACUUGAAUCUCAGAACUACUCUGAGAAUGAAGGCAACCAUCGAUAUUCGAUGUUUUUGAAAAUUGACUGCAAAAGGACUCGAUAAUCUUCAUUAUUCCGCUGCUGGAAGUAGAAUAGAGCCACUGUAUCAAGGCUUAUUGCAAACAGUUUAGACUAGAACAAAGGUGCUUCUGAUGCUGCAUUACUCUUCUGUAUUACUCCAGGAACUUGCAGCUUUCCUAUUCGUUCAAAAUGGAGCCAACUGAAGUGAUGAUAUUUCUUCAUUGUUGCACAGCCUGUGAAGCAAGGGGACACCUCAGGAAACAGGGGUUCCUCUGACUGCGUGCUGUCCAUUAGAAGUUGUUGUCAGUUUAACACAAGAACGUGAACGUCAGACCUCACCAUCAAUUUCACAGCCACGCCAGUCUGUUUACAUUUACAACAAUGAACAACCUGUUGGAUGGACUCAGCAUGUCGAGCUCCCUCUGGAAUUGUCGGUGAUUUGGGCCUUUGUGAAAUUUCCCACGUUAUUUCACAGCACUGCCAUUGACUAGAAGCAAAAUACUUGAAAUCUGAAAUAAAAGCAGAAAAUAAAGUGAGCAGCUAACAGGUCAGGCAGCAUCUGUGGACGGAGAAACAGUGACCAUGUCACUGGCAUGAUCUUAUGCUGACUGUUUUAUGCUGAGAGGUUGGAGAGACUGGGAUUGUACACGCUGGAAUUGAGAAGAUUGAGAGGGGAUCUGGUUGAAACAUACAAGAUUAUUAAGGGAUUGGACAAGAUAGAGACAGGAAAUAUGUCCCAGAUGUUGGGGAAGUCCAGGACCAGGGGGCAUGAUUUAAGAAUAAGGGCUAGGCCAUUUAGGACAGAGGUGAGGAAAAACUUCUCCCAGAGGGUUGUGGAAUGCACUGCCUCAGAGGGCAGUGGAGGCCAAUCCUCUGGGCACUUUCAAGAAGGAGCUAGAUAGGUUUCUUAUAGAUAGGGGAAUCAAGGGAUAUGGGGACAAGGUAGGAACAAGAUAUUGAUUGUUGAAGAUCAGCCAUGAUCUCAAAAUGGCGGUGCAAACUCGAAGGGCCGAAUAGUCUACUUCUGCUCCUAUUGUCUAUUGUCUGUGCAGAGAAUCAGCUGGAUCUUGUGCAUUUUCUGAUAUUUUUUUUCUGCAAAUUAUUUAUUGCUCCAGAUUCCAGCAUCUGCAUUCUCUUGUGUCUCCCAGAUAUUUACAGCUGGGUACGCCAACUUCAGCUUCCAAAUUCCACAUUGAUGUGCCUGACCACUAACUGUGUUAUUUGUAGAAUGUCAGCUGUCUUGGCUCAAGGCAUCAUUGUUUUGCCAGCUAGGAACAGCCAACUGAGAUCAACUGAAAUUCCACUAAUGUUAUACUUCUCACUAUUUUUAUCAACAAGUUUCUGCUUCACAUGUUUAUCCUGGGCAGUAACAGAAUGGUCUUGUGCUAGAAGUUGCCAGUAACCGUCCAGUCAUGACAUUAAGGCAUCUGUAUUUUAUAUAUACCGUUUUUUGCACUUUUUUUUGAUUUUUGUUUGUGUUUAUUGUAUGUCUUCUGUUCUAUGUAUGUCCUCUGUUGUGUGAGUCUGGGGGAAACAACAUUUCGUUCCGCCAUGUGUUUUUAUAGCAUGGAUGAAUGACAAAGUAACUUGAACUUGAUCUGGUAACCUGGUGGGUGUCAGAGCCUCUUCCAUCAAUGGGAGUUUGCAUUUGGAAAAGGAAGGGAGGGAAAAAGCAGCAUGGAGUGAAAUUGGGUACGGAAAAUGGAAUUAAGGGAAGGAAAUGAGGGUUGGAUCUCAAUGGAGAGAGAAAACAGUACACAAAAGCAAACUAAAAGUUAUAUUUUAACACCUUUAAAACCACUUCACCAUCCGUAGGAAUGAGACCUGGCAUUCAACUUGUUCCCUUUCUGGGCUAGAGAUGUUGACUGAGAUCACACGAAUCUAUAUGUAAUUAUUACUUGUGUUGUUGAGGUCUGUUCAAGAGUCUGAUAACAGCGGGAUAGAAGCUGUCCUUGAGCCUGGUGGUACGUGUUCUCAAGCUUGUGUAUCUUCUGCCGGAAGGAAGGUGGAUAAAGAGAGAAUGGACAGAUUGGAAGGGAUCUUUGAUUAUGUUGGCUGCUUCCCUGAGGCAAUGGAGAGGAAGCUGGUUUUCAUGAUGGACUGGGCUGUGUCCACAACUCUGCAGUUUUUUGUGGUUUUGGGCAGAGCGGUUACCAUACCAACUAUGAUGCAUCCAGAUAGGAUGUUUCAUAUGGUGCAUCUGUGUAUAUAUAUUAGUGAAGGUCAAAGGGGACAUGCCAAAUUUCCUUCACCUUCUGAGGAAGUAGAAGUGCUGGUGUACUUUGCUGGCUAUAGGGUCAACGUGGCUUGACCAGGACACAAGUUAUUGGUGAUAUUUACACUUAGAAGCUUGAAGGUCACAACUAUCUCCACCUCUCCACCAUUGACACAUACAGGGCGUAUACUCUGCCCUGCAUCCUGAAGUCAAUAACCAGCUGUUUUGUUUUGCUGGCAUUGAGAGAAUUGUUGUUGUCAUGACACCAUGUCACUUAGCUCUCUAUCUCCUUCCUGUAGUCCGUUUUGUCAUUGUUGGAGAUUGUGCCCACAACGAUGGUGUCAUCUGCAAACUUGUGUGAGAAGGUUCUUUUGGAAUCUUAAAGAUGGAGGACUCUGGACACAGGCUUUGGAUUUUAAAAAUAGUUUAAUCACAAAGGCAAACGUGAGGACAGAAUGAAUGGGAACAGAUGCGCGCACGCGCGCGCUCACACACACACACACACACGCAGAAGACCGCGAAUGUGAGGGAGAAUCGCAACGAGGAUGUGAGACACACACACACACACACAAUAAACAAGGUACAGCUUAUCAGGGGAUAAACACUUAAAUGCCUGAACUCUUUGACCCAGACAAGCAUUGGCCCUAACACUCCCUGGAAUCUGACUAAAACACUCCCAAACCAUAUGGUGUUGCACAUUCUUACCAGUGGUCUCUGCAGCAUCAUCUCACUACUCCUGGGGCAGUCAAAAGAGGGAGGGCCAAGGGAUUGCAACACUCUUUAAAGUACUGGGAGACUGGGUGGAGCCUGGCCAGGUGAUUAAGACAGGCCAAUGGUUUGGAGGUCAAGCACAAAGGUGCCUGCCAAGGCCACUGGUCAGGCAGGUUCAGGAACAAAGGUGCUCUCGUAGGCCAAUCCCUUUGCCCACACCUUGAUUGACAGUGGUAUCACUUCCGAUCCGAGGAGCAAUGCUGUCCCCUGACGGGAGGGGUCUCAAAUUUUGCUGCUUAGACUGAUCCUUCACUUGGAAGUCUCCCAUUCCUCAGUGAACAGCACUGAAUCAGAUUGGUGUGGGUUCAAGUCUGUCUCUAGGAUCCGAGGACACAAUCCAGGCUGACCUCCCUGCCAUUUUCAGAAAAGAAAUUUAACCGGGGUCCCGUGCAUCACCUCAACUCGAUGCACACAUGUCAGAAGCCAAAACCGGAAUGAGUCGGUAAAUUCUCCUGGGUGUCCCAGCCAAUAUUUAUCAGCCAACGUCACUAAGAACAGACCACCUGGGUGUGACGGUGUGUGGGAGCCCACAGUGUGAGGACUGUGGCUGAGAUUCUUCCAACACAACUGCACUAUGUUCACUGAGGAACGUCUUCUGAGUUUAUGGAAGGCUUGGUGAUAAUGUGAGGUCUUUCCUUUCAUCUUUGGAUAAACUCACUGAAGAGACUGAGCUCCAUAACUUGUGCCAGCAACACUUCAUUGUCAUGAGAACUGAAUGCCUUGUUUGUUGCCUUCAGAGAGCAGAAUGAUGUUGAUCUUGGCCUCCAGCCAAGCUUUCCCAGCAGGGAUACAGCACUGACAUCUACCCGCCAAUGUGGAAAAUUGUCCAAGCAUGUCCUCCUGUUCACAAAAUUGUGAAGAAAUCCAGUCUGUCUAAUUACCGCUCUCAAUCAACAGCGGAAAAGCGAAAGAUGUCUUUGACAGUGCCACCAAGCAGCACUUACUCACCAGUGCCCAGUUUGGCUGUUGCCAGGGCCACACUGCUCCAAACCUCAUCACAGCCUCGAACCCAGCAUGGACUGAAGUGCUGAAUUCCAGAGGGGAGAGAGAUGGACCUUGGCAUCAAGGCAGCAGUUGAUCGAGUAAGGCAUUGAGGUGCCCUGGUAACACUGAAGUCAACGAAGGUCAAAAGGAAGAUCCUCCAGUGGUUGGAGCUGUGCCGCGCGCAUAGGAGGAUGUUUGGGGUAUGUAAUGGAGGUCACCAUCUCGGCCCCAGGACGUCAGUGCCAGACUGCCCCAGGACAGUGUCCUACGUCCAACCACAUUCUGCUGCUUCAUCGAUGACCUUCCAUCCUAUCGCAAGGCCAGGAGUGGGGCUGGUGACUGAUGACUUUAUUAAGAAAAGUCAGAUUGUGUAACCUUGACGUCCCAUGUUGGCUUCAGCUAAUAGGUGGCAUGGUGAAGGACUUCAACAGGUUUUCGUCCAGUGGAGACCAUCAUUGUGGUGGCAUCAGUUGUUGGGAUAGUAUCUUCUGUAGUGUCAUUUAUUGGAUUGCUGCUACUGUGCUGCUUGAGGAGAGAAUUGAUACAAGCGUCAGUGAAACAGUCCAAACUCCUGUUUAUCUUUACCACGGUGUCUCUUGUUGCCAUCUCUAUUGCCCUCAUUUCCUGGAUUGUGAUUAAAGACAGGGACUGCACCAUUGGCUACUGAUUGGAAAAUCAUACCCAGCUAUUCUUCUACUGGCAGAGGAGCUGCCUCUGUACCUGUGGUUGCUUUGUGCAUUGCACUUGUCCUGCUGGCUUUUAACGUCUGCCCGACCAUCAACAUUGGGAACUUGGGCUGCAAGUGUAUCAGUCGCUUCUUAGACAGCACAGAUGAAGGUUGUUACGUGACAAUUCUAAUCUGGAGCAUACUGCCCCCAUUGUUCACUGUUCUUGCAGUAAUCUUCAUUGCAUCUGCAGCAGUGUGGUGGA